rnacentral:rRNA from 1 species
CCUACGGGUGGCAGCAGUGAGGAAUAUGGGUCAAUGGGCGCAAGUCUGAACCAGCCAUGCCGCGUGCAGGCAGAAGGCUCUAUGAGUUGUGAACUGUUUUUGCACGUGCGUAAACGCAGAUACGUGUUUAUGUCUGAAAGGAACGCACCAUUAAGGAUCGGCUAACUCCGUGCCAGCCGCCGCGGUAAUACGGAGGGGUCAAGCGUUAUCCGGAUUUAUUGGGUUUAAAGGGUGCGUAGUCGGCUGGGUAAGUUAGGGGUGAAAGCCCGGGGCUCAACUUCGGAAUUGCCUCUGAUACUGUUCGGCUAGAGAGUAGGUGAGGUAGGCGGAAUGUAUGGUGUAGCGGUGAAAUGCGUAGAGAGCAUACAGAACACCGAUUGCGAAGGCAGCUUACCAAGCUACAUCUGACGUUGAGGCACGAAAGCGUGGGGAGCAAACAGGAUUAGAUACCCUUGUAGUC